rnacentral:rRNA from 1 species
CCAAUAGCGUAUAUUAAAGUUGCUGCAGUUAAAAAGCUCGUAGUUGAAUUUCGGGAUCAAUAUGUUGGUCGUGCCUUGGUACGUACUAGCUUAUUGAUUUCUUCCUUCUGACGAACCAUGAUGUCAUUAAUUUGGUGUCAUGAGGAAUCAGGACUGUUACUUUGAAAAAAUUAGAGUGUUUAAAGCAGGCUCACGCUUGAAUACAUUAGCAUGGAAUAAUGAAAUAGGACGUUUGAUUCUAUUUUGUUGGUUUCUAGGAUCGACGUAAUGAUUAAUAGGGAUAGAUGGGGGCAUUAGUAUUCAAUUGUCAGAGGUGAAAUUCUUGGAUUUAUUUAAGACUAACUACUGCGAAAGCAUUUGCCAAGGAUGUUUUCAUUAAUCAAGAACGAAAGUUAGGGGAUCGAAGACGAUCAGAUACCGUCGUAGUCUUAACCAUAAACUAUGCCGACUAGGGAUCGGAUGAUGUUAAUUUUUUAAUGACUCAUUCGGCGCCUUACG